rnacentral:rRNA from 1 species
UAAAAUAAUUAAGGGCACACAAAGGAUGCCUAGGUAGUAAGAGCCGAUGAAGGACGUGGUAAGCUGCGAUAAGCCUAGAUAAGUUGCAAUCGAACGUAAGAGUCUAGGAUUUCCGAAUGGAGCAAUCUAUUAAGAUGGAGUCUUAAUACGAAAGAGGGAACCGCGUGAACUGAAACAUCUAAGUAACGCGAGGAAAAGAAAGUAAAAACGAUACCCAAAGUAGCGGCGAGCGAAAUGGGUCAAGCCUAAACCUUAAAUAUGUCAAGGAUACAGCCGUUGUAUUUAGGGGGUUGAGGGACAGAGUAGUGAAGAACUGUAAGAUAUUCAAUAUAGUGUAUUGAUGAAUUGGAAUUGUCUGGAAAGGCGAACCGUAGAAGGUGAAAGUCCUGUACAAGUAAAUCCUUACACAUAUAACUCUGCUCCCAAGUAACAUGGAACACGAGGAAUUCUGUGUGAAUCUGUGAGGACCAUAUCUCAUAAGGCUAAAUACUCUUACUAACCGAUAGCGCAUAGUACCGUGAGGGAAAGGUGAAAAGAACCCCUGGAGGGGAGUGAAAUAGAACCUGAAAUUGUGUGCUUACAAGCGGUCAGAGCCAGUGAUGGUGAUGGCGUGCCUUUUGGAGAAUGAUCCUGCGAGUUACGUUAAACGGCGAGGUUAAGUAUAACGGAGCCGAAGGGAAACCAAGUCUUAAUAGGGCGAUUUAGUCGUUUGGCGUAGACGCGAAACCUGGUGAUCUAAACCUGUCCAGGAUGAAGCUGUGGUAAGACACAGUGGAGGUCCUAACCCACCGCCGUUGAAAAGUUGGGGGAUGAGGUAGGUUUAGGGGUGAAAAGCCAAUCGAACCAGGAGAUAGCUCGUUCUCUCCGAAAUGCAUCUAGGUGCAGCCUUGAGUGUUCAAUUAUGGGGGUAGAGCACUGAAUGAUCUAGGGGGCGUAUUGCUUACUGAAAUCAAUCAAACUCCGAAUACCAUAAUUUAGAGCUCAGGAGUGAGACUAUGGGAGUUAACUUCCAUUGUCGAAAGGGAAACAACCCAGACCACCAGCUAAGGUCCCUAAUUAUAACUAAGUGGGAAAGGAGGUGGAGAUUCACAAACAACUAGGAGGUUGGCUUAGAAGCAGCCAUACCUUUAAAGAGUGCGUAAUAGCUCACUAGUCGAGAGUCUCUGCGCCGACAAUGUAACGGGGCUAAGUUAUAAACCGAAGCUGUGGAAUCCGUAAGGAUUGGUAGGAGAGCGUUCUGUAGGCCGUUGAAGGAGAAGGGUAACCGACUCUGGAGGUAUCAGAAGUGAGAAUGCAGGAAUAAGUAGCGAGAAAGGGGGCGAGAAUCCCCCUCGCCGGAAGACCAAGGUUUUCAGGGUAAAGCUUGUCUUCCCUGAGUAAGCCGGGACCUAAGCCCAGGCUAUAAUGCGUAGGCGAAUGGAAAACAGAUUAAUAUUUCUGUGCCAGUCAUAUAUUGUGAUGGAGGGACGCAGAAGGGUAUGCACGCGGACGAACGGAAGUGUCCGUAGAAGUAUGUAGGAUGACUUGAUAGGAAAAUCCAUUGAGUUAUAUCUGAGGUAUGAUAUACAGUCGUAAGAUGAAUGCGCAAAUCCCACGCUGCCAAGAAAAGCUUCUAACGUUAAUAUUUGACUGCCCGUACUGCAAACCGACACAGGUGGUCAGGAUGAGAAAUCUAAGGCGGACAGGCUAACUCUCGUUAAGGAACUCUGCAAAAUAACCUCGUAACUUCGGGAGAAGAGGAGCCCUUGAGGGUCAGUAUCCACGCGAUACAAAGCACUCGAGGGUCGCAGUGAAGAGGCUCAAGCAACUGUUUAACAAAAACACAGGUCUAUGCUAAGCUGGAAGGCGAUGUAUAUGGGCUGACACCUGCCCAGUGCUGGAAGGUUAAGAGGAGGAGUGAGAGCUCCGAAUUGAAGCCCCAGUGAACGGCGGCCGUAACUAUAACGGUCCUAAGGUAGCGAAAUUCCUUGUCAGGUAAGUUCUGACCCGCACGAAAGG